rnacentral:rRNA from 1 species
AGUGAACGCUGGCGGCGUGACUUAUACCUGUAAGUUGAAGGAAGAGGCGCACGGGUGAGUAAUAUAUAUCUAAUCUGCCCCCUGCUGGAGGCUAACAGGUAGAAAUGACUGCUAAUACUCCAUACCAAGGGAGGAGACUAUAUCGUAUUAGCUAGUCGGUGGGGUAACGGCCUACCGCGGCUAUGACGCAUAACUGGUCUGAGAGGAUGAUCAGGCACAGUGGAACUGAGACACGGUCCAAACUCCGACGGGAGGCAGGAGUAGGGAAUAGUGCACCAUGGGAGAAACCCUGACGCAGAAACACCGCAUGGAGAAUGACACUUUUCGGAGCGUAAACUCCUUUUGUUAGGGAAGCGGUACCUAGCGAAUAAGCACCGGCUAACUCCGUGCCAGCAGCCGCGGUAAUAC